UAUGCUCUUUUUCUAGAGAAAUGUUUAAUUUUUGCAGAUUUUAUUCAAGUGACUUGUAGUUCCUUUAUAUUUGUUAAUAUUCUUGAAAGGGACCAGCUGCCUGCUGAGGAAUAAAUCAGGGAGUGGAAAUACUGAGUGAGAAAUUUUUACUUGGAUGUGUUGUCUCAAACACCCUGCCAUUCAAUAUGUUAUUUUCUUCACCCCAGACCUACUGCACUACAGCCUCUGGAGACAGAAAACUAUGUUAAGGAAUGAAGUAAAAGGGAGUGGAAAUAUUUGCAAGAGAUGAAAAGGGUCAAUUGACAGGGAUGGUGCCUCUGGAACAGAGGCUAUAGAAGAACUGGAGAAGAUUCCAUUUGAUAGUCACAGAAAAUACAUCAGGUACUAAAUGUUGCUGAUUUAAUCAACAUGAUAUUGAUGCUUACAGCUUUAACCCCUCAACCCCACAACAGCAGUGAAUGGCAUAAUAACACCAACGACCUCCUUUUGUAUUUGUUAGUGCCCUUAAAUCAAUGACAUUGGGGAAGAGAGGCUUUAGAUACUGAAUCUUUUUAUAUUUUUAAUGAAAUUUAUCUCUAUGCCCUGAUAUGUUCAGAUAUAUUUUAAUCAAUUUGUUAAGUAAUAUAGACAGAUGUCCAUGAACAGAAUUACAAAUUAUGCUAAGAAACACCAUACAUUGCACUGAUGUUUUUGGAAAUGUCAGUUUGUGCAUUUGACUACUGUAGUCUGCAAGUUCUCAUUGGAAGAGAAGACACUGUCAUUUUCAUCUUUGUAUACCCAGGGCCUAACA
rnacentral:lncRNA from 1 species